UACCUUACUUCUCUACAUUGCUUUUUUAUUUUUUAAAGAAUUACCAUUAUUAUUAUUAUUAUUUGAGAGGCAGAGUUUCACUCUUGUUGCCCAGGCUGGAAUGCAAUGGUGCGAUCUCGGCUCACUGCAACCUCCGCCUCUCGGGUUCAAGCAAUUCUCCUGCCUCAGCCUCCUGAGUAGCUGGGAUUACAGGCUCCUGCCACCUGGGAAUUGAACAAUGAGAUCACAUGGACACAGGAAGGGGAACAUCACACUCUGGGGACUGUUGUGGGGUGGGGGGGGGGGGGAGGGGGNNNNNNNNNNUUUAUCAUUUUUUUGCAUCUCAAUUUUAUUCAGUUAUUUGAUUUUUAAAUUUAUUUUUUUCUGGUAGCUUGGGGGUUAUUUUAUUUUAUUUUUCCUAAUUCCUCUAGGUUCAAGGUUAGAUUGUUCAUUGACAUCUUUCUAAUUUUUUGAUAAAGGCAUUCGGUUAUGUUGAGUUCAUAGAUGUCAUUAUGUGUGAGAUGGGUCCCUUGAAGACAGCAGAUAAUGGGUUUUUUCUAUUUAUCCAGCUUGUCACUGUCAUUUCAGUCAUUUCAGACUGGUUCAUAACCAUGGCUGAGGGGCUAGUGGACUCAUUUGGAUUUAUGAGGAUACUCUGGCUUUUUAAGUUGUCACAGUUUUUGUGCUGAUUAUCUCUCAUCUGGUGUUUCUUUAACAGGCUGUAUUUUGAUCUCUUGAGUAGAUUACUAGCUUCUAUAGUUUGAGACUUAUGUCUUUCAACUCUAUGAACAUAGUUACUUUAUCUAAUUAUGAAGUUGGAAUUAAAUUGCAGCUGAAUAACAGGUAUACGAAUUUCUCAAUAUGGCUUCUUUUGAAGACACAAAACAAUUGACCCUCCCAGUCUUAAAACUUGAUAAACUUAAACUUGUUUUAUCUGAGUUUCUUUCUCAGGAAACCAACCAUCCCCAGUCAUCCCAGAUAGUAUCAAGGAACUGAAACUUAGCAGAUCACCACAUUUGGACAAUGAGGUGCUGGACUCUUCACCCAUCAUGAU
rnacentral:lncRNA from 1 species